rnacentral:rRNA from 1 species
AGUGAACGCUGGCGGUAGACCUAACACAUGCAAGUCGAACGGCAGCACAGUAAGAGCUUGCUCUUACGGGUGGCGAGUGGCGGACGGGUGAGGAAUACAUCGGAAUCUACUUUUUCGUGGGGGAUAACGUAGGGAAACUUACGCUAAUACCGCAUACGACCUACGGGUGAAAGCAGGGGAUCUUCGGACCUUGCGCGAUUGAAUGAGCCGAUGUCGGAUUAGCUAGUUGGCGGGGUAAAGGCCCACCAAGGCGACGAUCCGUAGCUGGUCUGAGAGGAUGAUCAGCCACACUGGAACUGAGACACGGUCCAGACUCCUACGGGAGGCAGCAGUGGGGAAUAUUGGACAAUGGGCGCAAGCCUGGUCCAGCCAUACCGCGUGGGUGAAGAAGGCCUUCGGGUUGUAAAGCCCUUUUGUUGGGAAAGAAAAGCAGCAGGUUAAUACCCCGCUGUUCUGACGGUACCCAAAGAAUAAGCACCGGCUAACUUCGUG